GGUCAAGUAAUGAAGUGCACAUGGUGGAUGCCUUGGCAGUCAGAGGCGAUGAAAGACGUGAUAGCCUGCGAUAAGCGUCGGUGAGGUGGCAAUAUCCUGUGACCCGGCGAUUUCUGAAUGGGGAAACCCAACCAACAUAAGUUGGUUAUUACACAGUUUACUGUGUAAGGCAAACCGGGAGAAGUGAAACAUCUCAGUACCCCGAGGAAAAGACAUCAAAUGAGAUUCCGUAAGUAGCGGCGAGCGAACACGGAGGAGCCGAUCAAUUUUACAGUAGCAAAAUGGCGUGGGAAAGCCAACCAUAGUAGGUGAUAGUCCUGUAUGCGAAACUGUUUAAGCGACAUAUUAAGUAGGGCGGAACACGAGAAAUUCUGUCUGAAGAUGGGGGGACCAUCCUCCAAGGCUAAAUACUCCUGACUGACCGAUAGUGAACCAGUACCGUGAGGGAAAGGCGAAAAGAACCCCUGUUAGGGGAGUGAAAUAGAACCUGAAACCGUGUGCAUACAAGCAGUCGGAGCGGACUUGUUCCGUGACGGCGUACCUUUUGUAUAAUGGGUCAGCGACUUAUAUUCUGUAGCAAGGUUAACCGAAUAGGGGAGCCGUAGGGAAACCGAGUCUUAAUAGGGCGAAUGAGUUGCAGGGUAUAGACCCGAAACCGAGUGAUCUAUCCAUGAGCAGGUUGAAAGUGCCGUAACAGGCACCGGAGGACCGAACCCACUGUCGUUGAAAAGCCAGGGGAUGACUUGUGGAUAGGGGUGAAAGGCUAAUCAAACUCGGUGAUAGCUGGUUCUCCCCGAAAGCUAUUUAGGUAGCGCCUCGGACGAACACCAUUGGGGGUAGAGCACUGUUUCGGCUAGGGGGUCACACCGACUUACCAAACCGAUGCAAACUCCGAAUACCGAUGAGUGAUAUCCGGGAGACAGACGGCGGGUGCUAACGUCCGUCGUCAAGAGGGAAACAACCCAGACCGCCAGCUAAGGCCCCAAAUUCCUAGUUAAGUGGGAAACGAUGUGGGAAGGCACAGACAGCUAGGAGGUUGGCUUAGAAGCAGCCACCCUUUAAAGAAAGCGUAAUAGCUCACUAGUCGAGUCGGCCUGCGCGGAAGAUGUAACGGGGCUCAAACUAGGAGCCGAAGCUGCGGAUUUAAUUGUUUCAAUUAAGUGGUAGGGGAGCGUUGUGUAAGCCUGUGAAGGUGCACUGUAAGGUGUGCUGGAGGUAUCACAAGAGCGAAUGCUGACGUGAGUAACGACAAAACGGGUGAAAAGCCCGUUCGCCGGAAGACCAAGGGUUCCAGUCCAACGUUAAUCGGGGCUGGGUGAGUCGACCCCUAAGGCGAGGCCGAAAGGCGUAGUCGAUGGGAAAUCGGUUAAUAUUCCGAUACUUGUUUAUGAUGCGAUGGAGGGACGGAGAAGGUUAUGCCAGCCUGGCGAUGGUUGUCCAGGUGGAAGGAUGUAGUUAGACUGAGUAGGCAAAUCCGCUCGGUUAUUAAUGAGAUCUGAUAGCAAGCCAGUUUACUGGCGAAGUGGCAAAUACCCUGCUUCCAGGAAAAGCUUCUAAGCGAUAGUCAUAAACGAAUCGUACCCGAAACCGACACAGGUGGUCAGGUAGAGAAUACCAAGGCGCUUGAGAGAACUCUGCUGAAGGAACUAGGCAAAAUGGUACCGUAACUUCGGGAGAAGGUACGCUGCCGAUGGUGAUAAGACUUGCUCUUUGAGCUGUUGGCAGUCGCAGAUACCAGGCUGCUGCAACUGUUUAUUAAAAACACAGCACUCUGCAAACACGAAAGUGGACGUAUAGGGUGUGAUGCCUGCCCGGUGCUGGAAGGUUAAUUGAUGGGGUUAGCGUAAGCGAAGCUCUUGAUCGAAGCCCCAGUAAACGGCGGCCGUAACUAUAACGGUCCUAAGGUAGCGAAAUUCCUUGUCGGGUAAGUUCCGACCUGCACGAAUGGCAUAAUGAUGGCAGCGCUGUCUCCAGCAGAGACUCAGUGAAAUCGAAAUCGCAGUGAAGAUGCUGUGUACCCGCGGCUAGACGGAAAGACCCCGUGAACCUUUACUACAGCUUUACAUUGAACUUUGACCUAACUUGUGUAGGAUAGGUGGGAGGCUUUGAAGCAGAUACGCCAGUAUUUGUGGAGCCAACCUUGAAAUACCACCCUGGUUAUGUUGGGGUUCUAACUUGAGAUUAACAGAUCUAAGGACAAUGUAUGGUGGGUAGUUUGACUGGGGCGGUCUCCUCCUAAAGAGUAACGGAGGAGUACGAAGGUGCGCUCAGAACGGUCGGAAAUCGUUCAAAGAGUAUAAAGGCAAAAGCGCGCUUAACUGCGAGACCCACAAGUCGAGCAGGUACGAAAGUAGGUCUUAGUGAUCCGGUGGUUCUGUAUGGAAGGGCCAUCGCUCAACGGAUAAAAGGUACUCUGGGGAUAACAGGCUGAUACCGCCCAAGAGUUCAUAUCGACGGCGGUGUUUGGCACCUCGAUGUCGGCUCAUCUCAUCCUGGGGCUGAAGCAGGUCCCAAGGGUAUGGCUGUUCGCCAUUUAAAGAGGUACGCGAGCUGGGUUUAGAACGUCGUGAGACAGUUCGGUCCCUAUCUACCGUGGGCGUUGGAAAUUUGAGAGGAUCUGCUCCUAGUACGAGAGGACCAGAGUGGACGAACCUCUGGUGUUUCGGUUGUCACGCCAGUGGCAUUGCCGAGUAGCUACGUUCGGAUGGGAUAACCGCUGAAAGCAUCUAAGCGGGAAGCCCACCUCAAGAUAAGAUUUCCCUAAAGAGCCGUUGUAGACUACGACGUUGAUAGGUUGGGUGUGGAAGUGUAGUGAUACAUGUAGCUAACCAAUACUAAUUGCUCGUUUGGCUUGACCAU
rnacentral:rRNA from 1 species